GACGAGGGGUCCAAGCGUUGUUCGGAAUCAUUGGGCGUAAAGCGGGUGUAGGCGGCCUUAUAAGUCAGGAGUGAAAGCCCCGAGCUUAACUCGGGAAGUGCUUUUGAUACUGCAAGGCUUGAAUGUGGGAGAGGGAUGCGGAAUUCCAGGUGUAGCGGUGAAAUGCGUAGAUAUCUGGAGGAACACCGGUGGCGAAGGCGGCAUCCUGGACCAAUACUGACACUGAGGAGCGAAAGCCAGGGGAGCAAACGGG
rnacentral:rRNA from 1 species